rnacentral:tRNA from 2 species
GCCUUUGUGGCUCAGUGGUAGAGCAUCCCCUUGGUAAGGGGAAGGUCGCGAGUUCAAUUCUCGCCAUAGGCU